UUACCUAGGGGUGCCCAAAAGGCUGAGAGAUGGAAACAUUAACCCUUAUACCUGAUCUGGAUAAUACCAGCGUAGGAAAGAGUAGAG
rnacentral:ncRNA from 1 species